UCGUGGUCUCUAACAUAGGCCAUGGAUGACGGUACCGGACUAAGAAGCACCGGCUAACUACGUGCCAGCAGCCGCGGUAAUACGUAGGGUGCGAGCGUUAAUCGGAAUUACUGGGCGUAAAGCGUGCGCAGGCGGUUUUGUAAGACAGAUGUGAAAUCCCCGGGCUUAACCUGGGAACUGCGUUUGUGACUGCAAGGCUAGAGUACGGCAGAGGGGGGUGGAAUUCCUGGUGUAGCAGUGAAAUGCGUAGAGAUCAGGAGGAACACCGAUGGCGAAGGCAGCCCCCUGGGCCUGUACUGACGCUCAUGCACGAAAGCGUGGGGAGCAAACAGGAUUAGAUACCCCUGGUAGUCCACGCCCUAAACGAUGUCGACUAGUCGUUCGGAGCAGCAAUGCACUGAGUGACGCAGCUAACGCGUGAAGUCGACCGCCUGGGGAGUACGGCCGCAAGGUUAAAACUCAAAGGAAUUGACGGGGGACCCCGCACAAGCGGUGGAUGAUGUGGAUUAAUUCGAUGC
rnacentral:rRNA from 1 species